GACGAACGCUGGCGGCGUGCUUAACACAUGCAAGUCGAACGGAGUGGCGAACGGGUGAGUAACACGUGGGUGACCUGCCCUGCACUUCGGGAUAAGCCUGGGCAACUGGGUCUAAUACCGGAUAGUGUGGGAUGGGCCCGCGGCAUAUCAGCUUGUGGGUGGGGUAAUGGCCUACCAAGGAGGCGACGGGUAGCAGGCCUGAGAGGGUGGACGGCCACAUUGGUACUGGGAAACGGGCCAGACUCCGACGUGGGGCAGCAGUGGGGAAUAUUGCGCAAUGGGCGGAAGCCUGAAGCAGCGACGCCGAGUGGGGUAUGACGGCCUUCGGGUUGUAAACUCCUUUCACCAUCGACGCGGUAGAUGAAGAAAAAGCACCGGCUAACUACGUGCCAGCAGCCGCGGUAAUUC
rnacentral:rRNA from 1 species